rnacentral:rRNA from 1 species
GACGAACGCUGGCGGCGUGCCUAAUACAUGCAAGUAGAACGCACAGUUUAUACCGUAGCUUGCUACACCAUAAACAGUGAGUUGCGAACGGGUGAGUAACGCGUAGGUAACCUGCCUGGUAGCGGGGGGUAACUAUAGGAAACGAUAGAUAAUACAGCACAAUCUUAAUUAUUGCAUGAUAAUUGAUUGAAAGAUGCAAUUGCAUCACUACCAGAUGGACAUGCGUUGUAUUAUCUAGUAGGGGAGGUAACGGCUCAACUAUGGCGCGAUACAUAGCCGACCUUGGGAGGUGGACGGCCAAACUUGGAACGGGACCACGCCCAGACUCCUUCGGGAGGCAGCAGUAGGGAAUCUUCGGCAAUGGACGAAAGUCUGACCGAGCAACGCCGCGGGAGUGAAGAAGGUUUUCGGAUCGUAAAGCUCUGUUGUAAGGGAAGAACGGGUGUGAGAGUGGAAAGUUCACACUGUGACGGUAUCUUACCAGAAAGGAACGGCUAACUACGUG